rnacentral:rRNA from 1 species
GACGAACGCUGGCGGCGUGCUUAACACAUGCAAGUCGAACGGAAAGGCCCCUUUGGGGGUACUCGAGUGGCGAACGGGUGAGUAACACGUGAGUAACCUGCCCUUGACUUCGGGACAACUUCAGGAAACUGGGGCUAAUACCGGUUAGGAAUCCUUGCUGCAUGGUGGGGGUUGGAAAGCUUAGGCGGUUUUGGAUGGACCGGCGGCUUAUCUGCGUGUUGGUGGGGUAGUGGCUUACCAAGGCUUCGACGGGUAGCCGAGCUGAGAGGGUGACCGGACACACUGGAACUGAGACACGGUCCAGACUCCUAGGGGAGGCAGCAGUAGGGAAUAUUCGGCAAGGGGCGAAAGCCUGACGGAGAAAUGCCGCGUGGGUGAUGAAGGUCUUCGGAUCGGAAAAAUCUGUGGUUGGGGAAGAAAAAAUGUGUAAGGAACUAUGGACGUCCUGACGGUACCUAAUGAGAAAGCAACGGCUAACUACGUG